rnacentral:lncRNA from 10 species
UAGAGUGGGAGUGACCUGAUUUUCCAGGUGCCGUUUGUCACCCCUUUCUUUGACUAGGAAACGGAACUCCCUGACCCCUUGCGCUUCCCGAGUGAGGCAAUGCCUCGCCCUGCUUCGGCUCGUGCAUGGUGCGCUGCACCCACUGUCCUGCACUCACUGUCUGGCACUCCCUAGUGAGAUGAACCUGGCCACCAAGUUCUAUUGAACAUCAUGAAUCCUAUGCUCAAGUGAGAUCAGCUCAAGUGAGACCAGAUAUCUGAAGACCUUUUCAUUUUCGCCACCCUCAAAUGAAGGCAUGCAAGUCCUGUUUGUCUCUGCCACUCCUCUAGCUGAUAUGUGCUCCAGAUUUGAAAAUUAAUUUAAGAAGCCAAAUUGUUUCCUGCUUUUCAAAGUUAUACAUAUCGUUACAUAUGUUUAUAUUUAUGUGUACACACAAAUGUAAAGCAAUGAUGCCUCUAUUAAAAUGAUGUU